CCCUUAGAUGUUCUGGGCCGCACGCGUGCUACACUGAGUGGAUCAGCGGGUCAGGUUACGCGAGAGCGUUUCCUAAUCUUCAAAUCCGCUCGUGAUGGGGAUUGACGGUUGCAAUUUUCCGUCAUGAACGAGGAAUACCUUGUAAGCGCGGGUCAUCAUCCCGCGCUGAAUACGUCCCUGCCCUUUGUACACACCGCCCGUCGCUCCUACCGAUUGAGUGGUCCGGUGAGGCUUUGGGAUCUAAGCGAAAAGAGCGUUUCGCUCCUUUUGCUGGGAGAACUCAGUCGAACCUCAUCAUUUAGAGGAAGGAGAAGUCGUAACA
rnacentral:rRNA from 1 species